rnacentral:misc_RNA from 1 species
AGAAGUUCUAUAAAUUCUUUCUUUAAGUAAAAAAUUGUUAAAUCGAUUCCAGAUGGUCUUUGGAAAAGAGUGCAAGCUUAUAGCGAAGCAUCACGGAGCAAAGACCAAAUUACUGAUCGAAAUGCAGAAGAGCAAGUGAUCAAAAGACCAAAACAAGAAGGCUCAAAGAUCUCUCAAAAUAUUAGAAAAUCCAGGACUCAUAGAAACAUACAAACUCGGAAACUAAUUCUAUGUGCCUAAUAAAUCCCUAUAUAAAAUUUAAUUGACAGACACACAAAACGAAGAGGUAAAAAAUUUCUCUUGACUACCCUGCCAAUAGUUUUCACCAUGCAUAUAGGAUUUCACCCACAGAAACACUCCUUGAUCCUGGAAAUCACGCCACAAACCACCAAUU